AUGAACUUGGGUCAGAAUAUGAACAAAGCUCUCAAGGUGCCGAAGGCGUCCGAUCGAACUCAGCUGGAGGCCAAACAGGUUCGGCUCUCGGACAUGCCACCAUUAACGCUCGAUGACACCGAUNNNNNNNNNCCAGCUGCAAUGAAGUCCUCCAGAGAUAAGGGUUUGCAGAAAAUGAUCUUGGCAUCCCAGAUAAGCAGGUCGAGGUCAAAGCCGGUGCCCAGGGGGAUUUCAAUGGAUCACCAACACGAGAAACUGAAAUGGCAGGACCAGAAAAGAUGGUCCCAGAUCUCACUGCAGCCGGAUGUGCAAGAACACAUCAAUGAUCAUCUGUGA
rnacentral:rRNA from 1 species